rnacentral:snRNA from 1 species
GGUUAUGAGGGUGAGCUGGUUGGGGAUAUCUUGUGGCCUCGUUGAUCGCCAGAGUUGAACUGGCUGAUUUGGCUGGCCAGGCUUGUGUCCCUUCCUCCCUCACCACCCGAGUGCCUCCCUGCAGAAGCUGCAUGCUCUGUGAAAGAGGACCUUCCAGGAGAGAAGAGGACCAUUCUUUGGUCAAAGACUAGCUGCACUCCCCUGCUACACCCUCCAAACUCUCAAGGGCCAUUUGCAGGAGAACACAGGGUAGUCAAGCUUCUAAGACUCCAGACACAUCCAAAUGAAGUGCUGCAUGUGGCAGUCUGCCCUUAUGU